rnacentral:lncRNA from 1 species
CAAUUUUGAAUCAAAUUUAUCAUAAUCAAAUUAACAUAUUAUUAACUUCCGGGUAUUAUUUCCGGUAUAAUCACAUGUAGGCAUGUCCCGAUUGUGCUCGGCAACUUUUGGGCAACUUUUUGCGUUUGGAGCAACUUUUUUCGGUUCGAGCAACUUCAAACAACUUUUUCCUUUUUGAGCAAUUUUUGAGCAACUUUUGACUAGAGUUCAAACUUUACAGUAUGAAAUGUUUGCAUAUCAUAGACAACUUCAUUUCCUUGCUUCCCACGAGAAAAGACCCUGGGUACGAGGUUGCUUCAUUUUCUGGGAUAUUUUUCUGAUAAAAUAAUUUGGAAAAUCAGUUAAAUAUGGCAAUAUGCUAAAAUGCUGCUUAUUUGCCAUUGAUAUUUACUUGCUAUAGGGUUAAUAUCUGUAUUCUCUUGAAAACAAAAUGGCGGUUUAUAAAUGCUAAUAUUUAUUAUGACUGAACUAAAAGUCCAUCAUCAAGGCACUGAUAAAGGCACAAUAUGUGUGAUAAUGUUUAUUGUAUAGUUAUUGUAUUUGUAUAUUAUCAUUUUUAUUUUAUAUAAUAUAAACGUUUUUUGACAUGAGACACGGAGUUAUCGGACUACUCCAGACUAGAAAAAAAUAGUGUAUUAGAACGCAGAAACACAAAACUUGUGACGUUACUUUGUACUUCAAUCAUAAGAUUUACUCCAGGUAAUCUCACAUAUUGUUCAGCAAAAUGUUAACUUUGUAUGACUUUUGUUUUGUUAUUUGUUAAUCUUUUGUAAAGAAAAAGUUUUCUGUUUAUAAUUCCAAACAAUUUAUCCUGGAGUGGCCUACGGAAAUUGUAUAAAGCUUUUGUCGUUUUAAUUAACAUAUGUCGUGAAAUGAACGUAAUGUGUACGAAAAACUUUUUGAGUUUUUAGAGAGCAACUUUUUGGUUCUAGAGAGCAACUUUUUGGGAUUUUAUGAGCACAAUCGGGACAUGCCUAAUCACAUGACAACAUUGUUUGAAUUAUUCAACACACAAUUUAAAUUUGGAAGCCAUGUUUUCAAGUUUAUAACGUGUUCAAAAUAGUGAAGUUAUUUAGUUCAGUUUAAUCUGAAUCUGAUUCAAAUAUAACCGCUGGUUGGGUCUAGUUCGGUGUCUUCUGCUGGAAGAACAGGUAGGUCAUUUUCAUCAGAAAAUAUAUAAUUUAACAGUCCUCGAAAACGGGAUCGGCAUAUUUCGGCAAUGCCGACCUAAAUACCGACCUAUCAACCUCCCAGGUCGAUUUUUUGUCGACCUUAAUUCAGCCAAAGUAAGAAUUUUUUUUGUGCUGAUAGCUGUUAAAAAGUCAGCGUUUAUAGAAUUCGAUACACUUUGGUGUAAGGUUUAAGAAUUAACGGGUAUUCUAUAUAUGAUUUAGGUAAGACUCUAAAAGAAAAGCCUUCGUGACAUUACUUUUCAAUGAUUCGUAAAUACGUGAUUACUUGUGCAGGCUACUAGUGCUCCAAGACAUGGAAACAGAUUUUAAAAAAUGCCGUGAUGUGCAUUUUCAUUGGCUGUAGACAAGAGUGCGAUCACAGCUCAGAAAAGGUGCGAUUAAUGCUCAAAUCGCACUCCUGUAAACCAAUGAAAUUGCAGUAUUUGCCACUGAUUACAGAAGAUAAAUAAUUAAUGAAAUAAUUGCACUCCUCUUAACCAAUCAGAUUGCAGUAAUUUUGUCAUGUGUAUAAUAAAUUAAAAUAAAAGCAGCUCGUUAUUAAAGCAUAUAGCUACAAUGGCGAUUGGUACAGUUAAGGAUAAUUGAGUGUCGAUUUUGUUGAGUGUCGAGCCAUUGUUAAAUGGCUAUAUUUAAUUAAAACCAGGAACGGGGAAUCGGAAUAGGAAAAGCCGGAAUCUUUAAAAUCUGGAAUUAUGAGAAAAAGUCGGAAUCUUUAAAACCCAGAAUGAAAAAAGCCGGAAUCUUUAAAACCCGGAAUGGGAAAAGCCGGAAUCUUUGAAAUCCGGAAU